GAUCAUGGCUCAGGAUGAACGCUGGCGGCGUGCUUAACACAUGCAAGUCGAACGAAGCACUUAAAUUUGAUUCUUCGGAUGAAGAUUUUUGUGACUGAGUGGCGGACGGGUGAGUAACGCGUGGGUAACCUGCCUCAUACAGGGGGAUAACAGUUAGAAAUGACUGCUAAUACCGCAUAAGCGCACAGGGCCGCAUGGUCUGGUGUGAAAAACUCCGGUGGUAUGAGAUGGACCCG
rnacentral:rRNA from 1 species